rnacentral:lncRNA from 1 species
CUUUGAUAAUUAUAUGCAUCAUUUUCUUAGAAAAAAAUAUAUUUCUAUCCUAUGUAUUUUGGAAGCAACGGCUGGCGUUUGUCAUUUACUUUUUAUUUUCCUUUCUCAGCCGAGAUCCAAGUUUUAUAUUGAAACAAAAAUGAUUAAAAACUAAGUUUAUAUUAAAUAGCUCAUUUGAAGUUUUCAGAGUUGAAGACAUUCCAUACAAAGUCCAACGUAUGC